rnacentral:rRNA from 1 species
AGUGAACGCUGGCGGUAGGCCUAACACAUGCAAGUCGAACGGCAGCACAGUAAGAGCUUGCUCUUACGGGUGGCGAGUGGCGGACGGGUGAGGAAUACAUCGGAAUCUACUUUUUCGUGGGGGAUAACGUAGGGAAACUUACGCUAAUACCGCAUACGACCUACGGGUGAAAGCAGGGGAUCUUCGGACCUUGCGCGAUUGAAUGAGCCGAUGUCGGAUUAGCUAGUUGGCGGGGUAAAGGCCCACCAAGGCGACGAUCCGUAGCUGGUCUGAGAGGAUGAUCAGCCACACUGGAACUGAGACACGGUCCAGACUCCUACGGGAGGCAGCAGUGGGGAAUAUUGGACAAUGGGCGCAAGCCUGAUCCAGCCAUACCGCGUAGGUGAAGAAGGCCUUAGGGUUGUAAAGCCCUUUUGUUGGGAAAGAAAAGCAGCAGGUUAAUACCCCGCUGUUCUGACGGUACCCAAAGAAUAAGCACCGGCUAACUUCGUG